rnacentral:rRNA from 1 species
CAGUAGCCGCGGUAAAACGGAGGGGGCUAGCGUUGUUCGGAAUUACUGGGCGUAAAGCGCACGUAGGCGGCUUGGUAAGUUAGAGGUGAAAGCCCAGGGCUCAACCCUGGAAUUGCCUUUAAGACUGCCGAGCUAGUAGGUGAGAGAGGUAAGUGGAAUUCCGAGUGUAGAGGUGAAAUUCGUAGAUAUUCGGAAGAACACCAGUGGCGAAGGCGGCUUACUGGCUCAUUCUAGACGCUGAGGUGCGAAAGCGUGGGGAGCAAACAGGAUUAGAUACCCCGGUAGUCCCUGUCUCUUAUAC